UGUUCACUUCACCUGUUGUUGUUUAUCAGUGCAAAAUAUAAUCCAGGUCUAAACCAUACAGAGUGAAAUAAAAACUUGAAAACUUUUCUACUAUGCAGUAACAAUCCUAAAUUGGAAUCCCACCCCUAGAAUUAAGGAUCAGAAGGAGAUAAGGCUCCGUUGCUAUGGCCUGAAGUGAGGCAAAAUACCAUGGCAGAGAGCCUGGCCUCAAAACAGAGCUGCUCAUCUCUUGGAGAUCAGGAAGAUGGUGAGGGGAAGAAAGGACUGAGGAAUACCAUGUACCCUUCUAGGGAAUCAACUACAAUGACCUACCCUCCAACUAGUCCCUAACACAUACAGUUUUACCAACUCCCAAUAAUCCUGUCAAAUAAUGAA